rnacentral:lncRNA from 1 species
AUUUUUCUUUAUAUAUCCCAGGUGCUAAAAUCUUAUGUGUCAAGGGCAUUGUGAUGGCGCGAUCCAUGUCUCCUGCUAGCGCUCGACGUCCCGUAGCCCCAAAGAGGAGGGCUCCAAGGUACUUUUGAUUGAAUGACUUAAUUUUUUCUCCUAUGUUGUGCUAGAGGACUAACUGAAACUAUGGCUCUGCUAUGUAUCAGGUUGGACAACAAGCUUCACUGGAUGAAAGCAUUUCCCUUCUAAAACAGAGUGCUGCUGAUAUGAAUGCACAAGUUAGUCUUGAUACUAAGAUGGUCAUGGAAUUGCUUGAUCUAUACUAGGUCAACAUGUCAGCCAACCACUUAAAAAUAAUCAUUUGCAUUUCUUCCUCUAAACUGUGAAACCUGACGAGUGAUGACGCAUCAGCAAUUUAGCAAUAGAAGAUGUCAGUGAACACGAGUGCCAGUCAAGAGCAAUGAAACGCUAGAUACUUUAGAGUGUAAUUUUAUAUAAGAAUAAAUAAAUGACACUUAAGUCAUUAAGCAAUUGUUGUUGAGGUAUUGUCUCACCCUUUAUCUGCUCUCUUUUAAACUGUGGAAUGCUAUGGGCUGGAGCUACAGGGGAGGAGGGAGGUAAGCGUGAAUGCAAUGAAUAUUGUUCGGAUAAAAAAUUGGGUGCAAACUGAGUACUGACGGUGAGACUUAUUCAUUUGUUUAUCCUUUUGCCCUUUUAAUCAAGAACAAUGUUCAGAGCUUACAUGGUUGCUGAAAUUUAAAUCUAUGAAAUAGAAAUAUUAAUACCAUACAAUGAUCAGUGCAGAGUAGGAUAGUUAUUGAGUUCUUCCUGAGUUUUCAUUGAGAAAAGAUUGGAACUGUGUGAUUUGUUCUGAACUUCUAAUACAAAGUAAAGAUGGUGUGCAUGGGAGGAGCUUGAAGUGGCAUUCCCAUGGAGGGAUGGCUGAUGGCAAGGCAAGUUUCUCUCAAUCCUUCUCCCCCCUUCACUCUUGAUGUCUAUCAGAAUAGAUUCACCUUUGUUCUGAUUUUUCUUUAUAUGUCCCAGGUGCUAAAAUCUUAUGUGUCAAGGGCAUUGUGAUGGCGCGAUCCAUGUCUCCUGCGAGCGCUCAGCAUCCCGGAGCCCCAAAGAGUAGGGCUUCAAGGUCCUUUUGAUUGAAUGACUUGAUUUAUUUCUCCUGUGUUGUGCUAGAGCUAACUGAAACUAUGGCUUUGCUAUGUAUCAGGCUGGACAACAAGCUUCACUGGAUGAAAGUGUUUCCCUUCUAAAACGGAGUGCUGCUGACAUGAAUGCACAAGUUAGUCUUGAUACUAAGAUUGUCAUGGAAUUGCUUGAUCUAUGCUAGGUCAAUAUGUCAGCCAACCACUUAAAAAUAAUCAAUUGCAUUUCUUCCUCUGAACUGUGAAACCUGACGAGUGAUGACGCAUCAGCAAUUUAGCAAUAGAAGAUGUCAGUGAACACGAGUACUCAGUCAAGAGCAAUGAAGCCUAGAUACUUUAGAGUGUAAUUUUAUAUAAGAAUAACUAAAUGACACUUAAGUCAUUGAGCAAUUGUUGUUGAGGUAUUGUCUCACCCUUUAUCUGCUCUGUUUUAAACUGUGUAAUGCUAUGGGCUGGAGCUACAGGGGAAGAGGGAGGUAAGCGUGGAUGCAAUGAAUAUUGUUCGGAUAAAAUAUUGUCUUCAGCCAUCUGUCUCGCUCUGGUUUUCCUGUAGUGUGGAGUUUCAACUCUCGAUCUGGUCCGCGUGUUAUUGAUUCAGCUGCCUCACCAUUGCAGGAAAUUAUUGUGUGCUUUAGAUUGGGAUGCUGAACCAGAUGAAAAAUGUCACUGCAGCUUUGAGUGCAGUCAUAGGUUUGAAUUGUAAACUGUAGCUGCUUAAAACUUUGGUAUAAAAUAAAGCCCUUACUGGUAGAUGAGGCACGUUAUUAGCAACGUUUCACAUUUUCUUACUUGCAAUACUAUGAUUGCCUGUUCAGGUCUUCCAAGACCUAAAUCAUCAUAAAUCCAGCACACACAACACCUUUUUUAAAACUUCGGUUACCCUGAUUAAGCCUCCGUUCAAUUUUCUUAUAUGGAGGGGUUAGAAAUAGUUACCUUGCUUGCUUGCUCGAAACUAAAUCUACUGAUAAACGGAAUUUUUUCAAACCACACAUGGUGUUUAGUGGGUCUCAUGAUGGAUUGGGUUGUGGUAGUAGUUCUUGGGUGCAAUAUCUAUCUUGAUAAAGCGAUCGAUCAGGGCGCAUCGGAGGCAGAAGAAGAGAAAAUGUUUCGGGU